AACGAACGCUGGCGGCAUGCCUAACACAUGCAAGUCGAACGAUUGCCUUCGGGUGAUAGUGGCGCACGGGUGCGUAACGCGUGGGAAUCUGCCCUUAGGUUCGGAAUAACAGCUGGAAACGGCUGCUAAUACCGGAUGAUAUCGCGAGAUCAAAGAUUUAUCGCCUGAGGAUGAGCCCGCGUUGGAUUAGGUAGUUGGUGGGGUAAAGGCCUACCAAGCCGACGAUCCAUAGCUGGUCUGAGAGGAUGAUCAGCCACACUGGGACUGAGACACGGCCCAGACUCCUACGGGAGGCAGCAGUGGGGAAUAUUGGACAAUGGGCGCAAGCCUGAUCCAGCAAUGCCGCGUGAGUGAUGAAGGCCCUAGGGUUGUAAAGCUCUUUUACCCGGGAAGAUAAUGAUUGUACCGGGAGAAUAAGCCCCGGCUAACUCCGUG
rnacentral:rRNA from 1 species